CGGCCUGCUACAGCUAUCCAUGCAGUCGAACGAUGAUGCCCAGCUUGCUGGGCGGAUUAGUGGCGAACGGGUGAGUAAUACGUGAGUAACCUGCCCUUGACUCUGGGAUAAGCCUGGGAAACUGGGUCUAAUACUGGAUACUACCUCUUACCGCAUGGUGGGUGGUGGAAAGGGUUUUACUGGUUUUGGAUGGGCUCACGGCCUAUCAGCUUGUUGGUGGGGUAAUGGCUCACCAAGGCGACGACGGGUAGCCGGCCUGAGAGGGUGACCGGCCACACUGGGACUGAGACACGGCCCAGACUCCUACGGGAGGCAGCAGUGGGGAAUAUUGCACAAUGGGCGGAAGCCUGAUGCAGCGACGCCGCGUGAGGGAUGACGGCCUUCGGGUUGUAAACCUCUUUCAGUAGGGAAGAAGCGAGAGUGACGGUACCUGCAGAAGAAGCGCCGGCUAACUACGUGCCAGCAGCCGCGGUAAUACGUAGGGCGCAAGCGUUGUCCGGAAUUAUUGGGCGUAAAGAGCUCGUAGGCGGUUUGUCGCGUCUGCUGUGAAAGCCCGGGGCUCAACCCCGGGUCUGCAGUGGGUACGGGCAGACUAGAGUGCAGUAGGGGAGACUGGAAUUCCUGGUGUAGCGGUGAAAUGCGCAGAUAUCAGGAGGAACACCGAUGGCGAAGGCAGGUCUCUGGGCUGUUACUGACGCUGAGGAGCGAAAGCAUGGGGAGCGAACAGGAUUAGAUACCCUGGUAGUCCAUGCCGUAAACGUUGGGCACUAGGUGUGGGGGACAUUCCACGUUUUCCGCGCCGUAGCUAACGCAUUAAGUGCCCCGCCUGGGGAGUACGGCCGCAAGGCUAAAACUCAAAGGAAUUGACGGGGGCCCGCACAAGCGGCGGAGCAUGCGGAUUAAUUCGAUGCAACGCGAAGAACCUUACCAAGGCUUGACAUUCACCGGACCGCCCCAGAGAUGGGGUUUCCCUUCGGGGCUGGUGGACAGGUGGUGCAUGGUUGUCGUCAGCUCGUGUCGUGAGAUGUUGGGUUAAGUCCCGCAACGAGCGCAACCCUCGUUCUAUGUUGCCAGCACGUGAUGGUGGGGACUCAUAGGAGACUGCCGGGGUCAACUCGGAGGAAGGUGGGGAUGACGUCAAAUCAUCAUGCCCCUUAUGUCUUGGGCUUCACGCAUGCUACAAUGGCCGGUACAAAGGGUUGCGAUACUGUGAGGUGGAGCUAAUCCCAAAAAGCCGGUCUCAGUUCGGAUUGAGGUCUGCAACUCGACCUCAUGAAGUCGGAGUCGCUAGUAAUCGCAGAUCAGCAACGCUGCGGUGAAUACGUUCCCGGGCCUUGUACACACCGCCCGUCAAGUCACGAAAGUUGGUAACACCCGAAGCCGGUGGCCUAACCCCUUGU
rnacentral:rRNA from 2 species